rnacentral:rRNA from 1 species
AAUAGAUACCCGGGUAGGUCCACGCCGUAAACGAUGAGUGCUAAGUGUUGGGGGGUUUCCGCCCCUCAGUGCUGCAGCUAACGCAUUAAGCACUCCGCCUGGGGAGUACGGUCGCAAGACUGAAACUCAAAGGAAUUGACGGGGGGCCCGCACAAGCGGUGGAGCAUGUGGUUUAAUUCGAAGCAACGCGAAGAACCUUACCAGGUCUUGACAUCCCGGUGACCACUAUGGAGACAUAGUUUCCCCUUCGGGGGGCAACGGUGACAGGUGGUGCAUGGUUGUCGUCAGCUCGUGUCGUGAGAUGUUGGGUUAAGUCCUGCAACGAGCGCAACCCUUAUUCUUAAUUGCCAUCAUUCAGUUGGGCACUCUAAGGAGACUGCCGGUGAUAAACCGGAGGAAGGUGGGGAUGACGUCAAAUCAUCAUGCCCCUUAUGACCUGGGCUACACACGUGCUACAAUGGACGGUACAAACGGUUGCCAACCCGCGAGGGGGAGCUAAUCCGAUAAAACCGUUCUCAGUUCGGAUUGUAGGCUGCAACUCGCCUAC